AGUUAGAGAAACGAAUAUAUAUAAGAUGUCGCAGUGGAAGUCUUUUUGUUGAUCGGACGGGUUAUGGCGCGCAAUUUCAAGAGAAGAUCUACUAAAUCGAUAUUAGUUAUAUGGAGUUGGCACUACUGUAUUUGGUACAACUUAAGUGUCAAUGGAUUUGAACAAACGACAACACAACUUAAUAUUAAUAUUGGCGAUGGUGAUUCCUGGAAUACAUAUACAUAUGCACAUUCGGUCAAGGGCCGUUUGCCGUUACAGUACGGGCGAGAUGUAUGGAUCUUCGAAUCAAUUGGAUCGUCUUCACCACCACCUGGUGCCGUGAAAUUGAGAGUGGUUGUCCCUUGUCGUUAAUAUGCGGCUAUUGGCCAACACUAAUGGGACAAGGGCCACUCGACGGGUUGAUUAAUGGAUGCACCCGGAAUCACCACACACGAAUAUGUCCUUUUUGGCCGAUAAUUAGUUUGGUAAAGAGAAAAAAAAUCAGAUAAAUGCAGACUUACAUAUUCAUUAACGAAACGGGACCGGGGGCUGAACAACCGGACGGCCAGGAGAGAUUCGCAGCAGCACACAGCGGAUUCACUGGGUGAUCCUCGAGGUAUACUAGAUUUUCCUUUAUAUCGUGUUGAUCGAAUCGGUUUCCAUGCGGAGGUGUGCCGUUGAUGGGCGAUGUUGAAUUCCCAGACAACAAAGGAUGAAAUAACCAUGCGGUCGUCCACUCGAAACUUGUAUCACCAGGACACUACUCCCUUGGAUCCAGGAGGGUAUUAUACGAGUGGAAAUAUGAGCAUCGUCUCAUCCACCCCCACUGGCUAAAAUGCUACGGCAUUUCCUCUACUCUCUCAUUGUAGGGCUUAAUGUCUUCAAUGUGGGCUUUAUAUCGCGUAUGAGUGUCUACGCACUCUAGCUCGCAUGAGACCGGUGACGUGAAGCGUAAAAUGCGUCGGGGCGUAGACCACCUGGGUAUGAAUUUCUGCGCCUCGUCGAAAUUGGCCAAUCCGUGCACCUUUUGCAGGACCACUUGGCCUUCGGAGAAAUGGUGUUGCUGGGGCCGUUUUGCGUUGUGAAAACGUCUGAGGCGUUCGUGUGCCUUCUCUAGGGCCUCAUUAACGUUAUCCUGUGAGGGAGGGGGUUCGACACCUACUAACUCCUGGAGGUUCCAACGCAAGCCGAGAGGGCUUUCCAUUUCCCGGUUUAGGAAUAUUGAUGCUGGGGUGUUUUGGGUGGCUUCGUGAAACUGGCUAUUGUGAGCAUGUUGGAAAUAAUGUAUAUAUUUGUCCCAUUCCCUAUGUGAUGGGGCGUAUUGCUUUAGCAAAAUGGUCAGUUUCAUUUUGAGAUCUCUGUUUACUCUUUCGGAGGCGUUAGAAGAAGGUCUGUAUGGGCUAGUGAGGAGGUGUUUUAUUCCCCAUUUUAGGCACAUGUGUUUGAAUUUAACACUCGUGAAACACCUAGCGUUGUCCGUAGAUAGAUAUUUGGGGGGUCCGUAGCGAAGCCAAAUCUUGUUCAGAGUGUCAACGGUUACUGCUGCAGUGACGCGUCUGACGGGUAUAGUCUCCAGCCACUUGCUGAAUCCGUCCAGCAUCACUAGGGUAUAUCGGAACCCAUUCCUGGAAGCCACUAGGGGGCCUACGUGGUCUAUGUAAACACGUUCCCAGGUGUGUUUAGGGACCGUUGAUGCUAAGGGUGCGCCUGAGGCGCGGUUUGAUGGUUUACAGCGUUGACACUCUGGACAGGACCUGACAUAUUUUUGGACGUCCUUAUAGAGACCCGGCCACCAAAAGCGACGGGCGAUCCGACGGUGUGUGACGCAAAUUCCACAAUGACUUGCCGUUACGGAGUCAUGGUAAAAGAACAUUAUCAUGUUUCUGAUGGCUUUGGGGACGGAAAUUCGUUUUAGGCGAUGUUUCCCCACGAAUUUCACCAGGACGUCAGAUUUGAGGGCAUAUCCUAUGACAUCUUCCCCAGAUUCAAUUCUGGAGAUGAUGAGUCUAUGCUCUUCAUCUUCUUCCUGGUGUUUUCGUAGAGAGGCAAAGCUUUGGGGCACCUCGUCCAAGAAGUGGAUUUUAGCGCCAUCAGAGGGUGAUAGGGAGUUAAUUUUAGGGGGGGUCGAAACUUCAGGGGUACCUUGUAUUGUGAAAAGCCUACUCAAGGCGUCGGCCACGGCGUUACGAGUACCACGAAUGUGCUCUAUGUCAAAUUCGAAACGAGACAGUUUUAAUGCCCAGCGGCCCACACGACCCAAUUGCUUUGGGUGGUUGAAAAUGAAGGACAGAGCGGCGUUAUCGGUUUGAAGCAAGAACUUGGUCCCUAGGAGAUAUUGUUUGAACUUUUCCAGGGCCCAAACGAUAGCGAGGGCUUCCUGUUCGUAAACUGGAUAGUUUUGUUCCGCUGCUGUGAGCUUUCGGCUAGCAUAUUGAAUGGGGUGUAGACCGUCUGGGAAAUGUUGCAUAAGUACGGCCCCGAGCGAGUUCUGGCUCGCGUCCGUCUGGACGAUGAAACGCCUUUUGAAGUUGGGGAAGGCUAGAACGGGGGCUUCUGUUAGGGCUCGCUUGACAUUGGCAAAGGCUUCGAGUUCUCUAUCUCCGAAAUGGAAUUUGACAUCCUUUUUCUUCAGCUGAUUUAGGGGUGCGAUGACCUCGGCGAA